CGUGCUUUAUUCCAUAUCGUUCCUAACACCCGGACAAAAAUUGAACGUGGUUCUAACGGUAAAACGGAGAAAAAAGGGCUACCCCGUAACCUCAAUAUAAACGAGACGACGAGUAAUUUAGUAAGUAGAUUUUGGAUGCAUAGUGUCGCGAAUAACCUAUUGCAGUUUACUAUAAAAUCAAACAAACAUAUUGGUAAAAUGUUUUCUUUUCUCGGAAGACGUUUUUAUCGAGAUUAGUAAAAAUACUCAGAUUUU